ACUCCUACGGGAGGCAGCAGUAGGGAAUCUUCCACAAUGGACGAAAGUCUGAUGGAGCAACGCCGCGUGAGUGAAGAAGGGUUUCGGCUCGUAAAAACUCUGUUGUUAAAGAAGAACAUAUCUGAGAGUAACUGUUCAGGUAUUGACGGUAUUUAACCAGAAAGCCACGGCUAACUACGUGCCAGCAGCCGCGGUAAUACGUAGGUGGCAAGCGUUGUCCGGAUUUAUUGGGGCGCAAAGCGAGCGCAGGCGGUUUUUAAGUCUGAUGUGAAAGCCUUCGGCUCAACCGAAGAAGUGCAUCGGAAACUGGGAAACUUGAGUGCAGAAGAGGACAGUGGAACUCCAUGUGUAGCGGUGAAAUGCGUAGAUAUAUGGAAGAACACCAGUGGCGAAGGCGGCUGUCUGGUCUGUAACUGACGCUGAGGCUCGAAAGUAUGGGUAGCAAACAGGAUUAGAUACCCUGGUAGGAUAGCG
rnacentral:rRNA from 1 species